GUUCAUCUGAUGAGUCCCAAAUUGGACGAAACGUGCGUCAGACUGGAU
rnacentral:hammerhead_ribozyme from 1 species